UACGAAGGGGGCUAGCGUUGUUCGGAAUCAUUGGGCGUAAAGGGCGCGUAGGCGGUUUUAUAAGUCGGAUGUGAAAUCCCAGGGCUCAACCGUGGAAGUGCAUCCGAAACUGUAUAACUUGAAUCCCAGAGAGGGCGGUGGAAUUCCCAGUGUAGAGGUGAAAUUCGUAGAUAUUGGGAGGAACACCAGUGGCGAAGGCGGCCGCCUGGAUGGAGAUUGACGCUGAGGCGCGAGAGCGUGGGGAGCAAACAGG
rnacentral:rRNA from 1 species